CAGCCAGCAGGAAGGAGGAAAGGGGAAUGCACACGCCUUUUAAGAGAUGACCUGGAACUUGCUUCUAGUCAAAAGAGAGUCAUAAAUCCACUGGUGGCUUCAAGAAAGGCUAAGAAAAUUUCGCACUGAGCCUCACACAGUAUGUCCUGGGCCAUGGUGGCCAGUGGCCGCAUUACUCCACCGAAGGCCGCAAUUCCUGACAGACAGAGAGAGACGAGGAUAAUGGACACCCACGUACCUACUCUCCUGCUUCAACAGUGCUUCUUUCACUCCUUCGGAGGGUGCCAUUUGUUUCCUGUGGGGAUCCUGGCUGAUGGAGGACCUUCCUGUGCCUUUUGACUGUUCACUACAGCCUCUCCUCAACAGGGAGCAGCAAAUUGGCAGCUUAUUUCUGAAAACAACCGAAUGGACAUUAUCCCACAGAUUAAAAUGGAGGAAGUGAUUUUAGACAACUUCCCUGCC